UACGAAGGUGGCAAGCGUUGUUCGGAUUUACCUGGGCGUGAUACAGGGGAGCGUAGGCGGUUGGAUAAGCCCUCCGUGAAAUCAUCCAGGCGUUAACCUGGAAAGCUGCAGAGGGGACUGUUCAGCUAGAGGAUGGGAGAGGAGCGCGGAAUUCCCGGUGUAGCGGUGAAAUGCGUAGAGAUCGGGAGGAAGGCCGGUGGCGAAGGCGGCGCUCUGGAACAUUUCUGA
rnacentral:rRNA from 1 species